AGUAACGCGUGGAUAACCUGCCUCACACUGGGGGAUAACAGUUAGAAAUGACUGCUAAUACCGCAUAAGCGCACAGUACCGCAUGGUACAGUGUGAAAAACUCCGGUGGUGUGAGAUGGAUCUGCGUCUGAUUAGCCAGUUGGCGGGGUAACGGCCCACCAAAGCGACGAUCAGUAGCCGACCUGAGAGGGUGACCGGCCACAUUGGGACUGAGACACGGCCCAA
rnacentral:rRNA from 1 species